CUGUACCCCAAAUCCAGUUCCAAGAAGAAAAUGUUGAGAUGCUCAAAGGUACCUUCAAAAUAAAGGAGUCUAACAAGCAAGAGGACUCCAGAGAGCUGAAGUCUCUGAUUUGGUGCAGAUCUCAGAGAAAGUGAACAGUGAAUAAGAGGUGUCACAGAAAAUGGCUCCCAAAGGAAAUGGCACUAUUAGGAGCGUGCUCCACUUGGUACUAGUUCAAGACAAAGAGUAAGAAGUAAAAGCAAGACCCAGUGGUGGCCAGAGGUUCUCACCAGUGAAGAGUGAAUUCCCCAGCAAUCCUGCAGAAUUUGGUUGUCCAAUUUUGUCAGUGGAGGCAGAGGAUGAAACAUCAUCUUUGAAUACAGUGUUUACUGGUCAUUUACCAACAUUUGUUAGAAAUGCUCAGAGAACCAGUGCCUGGAGGACCCUGAGUAAGGUGGUGUCAGUGUGUCAGAUGGAUGAGGAAGAUCCCUGUGGCCACAAGGUCAAGGCAGCAAGGCUCACGGAAGGCUUUCUGGAAAGAACUCACUGCUCUCAGUGCAAAGGCACUGAAUUCUGCAUGUGGAUGUUGAAGUCCUAACUCCCGGUCUCUCGGGAUGCAACUGCGUUAUGAAGCAGAGAAUUGAAUGGGACCCGGCUACGGAAAGAAUGAACAUCAGUCAAGAAUAUACCUGUGUUUCCUCUUUGCACAGUAUUACCUCGCUCUGUGUGUGAGAGCUCUCUGUCCUGUUGAACAUGAUGCUGUUCUGCCUUCCUGUGAACAUUAAAUAUGGUUAGAGAGGUGUAUGUUGGUGAUAAGUUGACAACAGAUGGACUCUGAUUUGUUUGUCUGCUUUCAAAUUAUGUCACUUUGGUUAAGCUGGACUUACUUUCUCAGAAGGUAUCGAUGUGGAAGAUUCUGAGUUAGAGUUGGCCAUAGAAACAACUUGCAGGAAGGAAAAGCAAAGUUGGGGAGGUCACUGGGUGAGAUGAGGUUCCUCAGAUACUGAGAUGCGGAGGGACCGGCUUUCCUUCGACCUCCUCAUCCCCACAGCUGCCAUUUUUCUGACAUGAGCCAACAGCGGCCCGAGGCUUUCCACCGUACACUCAGGGCUGACCUGUGGAGAUGAGAGCUGUACAGACCGCAUCCUCCUUCGCACCCGAGGCUUCAGUUGGCUCUCUCAUGGUGAGGUCUGUACUGGCUUCACGUCUCAUGAAAAGGAUGCCGUCUCUCAGACGCCAAAUGGCUUCCUUCCUGGACCUUCUCUUUCACAGUGACUCUCACAACCGUUCAAGGUCCCAUUGUAUUGUGAAACUCCUCGUCUCAUAAUUCGUAGUGUUUUCUCGAGCUCCUGUCCUCGUUAGCUUUAAAGUGUCAGUAUGACACAGCUUAGAGUCAUCUGAGAAAAGCAGUUUCCAUUGAGGAACUGCGCAAAUCAGAUUGGCCUGUGCAGAUACUGCAUGGCCGUGGAGGGACUGUCUUGAUUGUUAAUUGAUGCAGAAGCGUCCAGCCCACUGUGGGUGGCACCAUCCCUAGGCAAGUGGUCUGGAGAUGUAAAAGAAAGCUAGGUAAGCAUGACCCUGUGAACAUCUGUCCACAUUCCCAGGAUGGGAGCAUAGCUGUACAACAAAUUCAGAAAGCAUUUUUCUGUUGCUAGGAAUAGCGGGCAUAGGAAGCACACUUUAUUAUUUAA